CUAUCUGCAGUCGAGCGCAGGAACCAGAUGACCCCUUCGGGGUGAUUCUGGUGGAAUGAGCGGCGGACGGGUGAGUAACACGUGGGCAACCUGCCUGUAAGACUGGGAUAACUUCGGGAAACCGGAGCUAAUACCGGAUAGUAUUUCCUUUCUCCUGAUUGGAAAUGGAAAGACGGUUUCGGCUGUCACUUACAGAUGGGCCCGCGGUGCAUUAGCUAGUUGGUGGGGUAAUGGCCCACCAAGGCGACGAUGCAUAGCCGACCUGAGAGGGUGAUCGGCCACACUGGGACUGAGACACGGCCCAGACUCCUACGGGAGGCAGCAGUAGGGAAUCUUCCGCAAUGGACGAAAGUCUGACGGAGCAACGCCGCGUGAGCGAUGAAGGCCUUCGGGUCGUAAAGCUCUGUUGUUAGGGAAGAACAAGUACGAGAGUAACUGCUCGUACCUUGACGGUACCUAACCAGAAAGCCCCGGCUAACUACGUGCCAGCAGCCGCGGUAAUACGUAGGGGGCAAGCGUUGUCCGGAAUUAUUGGGCGUAAAGGGCUCGUAGGCGGUUUCUUAAGUCUGAUGUGAAAGCCCACAGCUCAACUGUGGAGGGUCAUUGGAAACUGGGGAACUUGAGUGCAGAAGAGGAGAGUGGAAUUCCACGUGUAGCGGUGAAAUGCGUAGAUAUGUGGAGGAACACCAGUGGCGAAGGCGACUCUCUGGUCUGUAACUGACGCUGAGGAGCGAAAGCGUGGGGAGCAAACAGGAUUAGAUACCCUGGUAGUCCACGCCGUAAACGAUGAGUGCUAGGUGUUAGGGGGUUUCCGCCCCUUAGUGCUGAAGUUAACGCAUUAAGCACUCCGC
rnacentral:rRNA from 1 species